UUCAGAUGUUUAUAAUUAGAGCUUUAUUCCUUUGGCACAAAUCAGAUAGCUUUGUGUGGAGUUAAGUUGCCUGGUAGAGCUAAUAGAUAAAGCCAUUGUCAGUCAUUUUUAGGAGUUAAAGUAAAUGAGUCUAUCGUGUCUUUUCCUGAGGGAGAGUUUUACUGAAGGGAUUAUAAAGGAAGAAGUGGGCGUAGGAACCUGAAACACCCCUCUCCCCAGAAUAAGCUGGAUCAAAAGCAUGAACCUGAGGUAACGUGGGACAAAAGCAAAAACGGGGAGAUGAAGAAAGACACAUUUUCCCCACCUCACAAUUUUGCUAGGCUUGGCUGGAUCUUGACCUAUCUUGUCGAUUCCCAGGUCAAACUCUGCUGCCUCGGUUUACUCACAGAAGAAGAACAAGAUUCAGAACAGAAACCACAAGCCUGGUUCCUCAGCAGAGCCAAUCUGGAGAAUAGGAAGGAAGCAUCUAGGGAUGGGGGACGGAGGUUGACUGGUGCCAAAGUGCGUCGGGCUGGAUGGGAGAGAGCAACAAAAGAAGCGUCUGUAGCCUCGGCAGUCAGAGAGCAUGUUGUCAGUCCGGAUGGGCUUGGCUUGGAGAUGUGUCAGGCUGGCUGCGGGGGGAGAGCAUGGCAGCCAGACGUAUGGAAGCUCAACGGCAUGCAGUCUUCUGGAAACAGAAAAUCGCACGCAGGUCACCUGAGAGCAGGAUGAAAACAGAAGGGUGGCCACCUUCCUCCUUUGCCCUCUUCUCAUUCCCUCUGAAGUCACAAGUGACUCAUUUUGGGGACCCAUUUUUUAUCGGCGUUAAACACAGUGGCCAAAGUAUCUGGACAGUUGCAUCGUUUGGUGACGGAAGCCACAAAAACGUUGUUUUGGAAACUGUUUCCUUUUCCUUAGCCUUUUCCUGUGAAGGGCUAUCAGCCCGUCAGCUUGCUCAGGGGCCGGGCUCUGCAAGGCCUAGGGGCUUUUUCCCCAGGCCCCACGCACAAGCCCUUGACUUCGGCCAGAGGGCUCCCGGCACCGAGGCGUCCUCCUGCACCCUGCUCUUCCUCUUGUGGGAAAGCCCGGGCCUCCCACCCCUCUGCUGCAGGGAUCCCAAAAGGUGGGCAGACUUUAAACUGUAA
rnacentral:lncRNA from 1 species